UCAAACUAAACUUCACACCAGUUCCGCAUCAAGCUGCUCGCGGUGUAGCUUCCCAUAAAUGUGAAUAAGCUGUGAAUCUUCUUUAACGUGAAAGUUUUUCAUCCUUUGUUCAUGCACAUCAGUGCUCUGAACGCCACAGUUUGAACCUCAUGAAUCAGUCACGAGCCGUUCGUGCGGAUCAGCUUCACACGUGAAGGAAAGUUCCGGAUCCGUUGAUGUGGAUCGUUAGGCCUGAGGGAGAAGCUCUGGCCGCGGUCUUCCAUUACUCUGGCAUCUCUAUCCCCUCCAGAGGAAGCGUUCCGGCCUCACAGCCGUUCAUCAUCCCGAUACAUAAUAUGAUGCUGUUGGAAGUUUCACACUGAUGGAGCAACACUGACACCCAGCGGUCAAUGGAUGUAUUUCACACACAUUAACCCUGUUA
rnacentral:lncRNA from 1 species